rnacentral:rRNA from 1 species
GACGAACGCUGGCGGCGUGCCUAAUACAUGCAAGUCGAACGAGAGCAACCGGUGCUUGCACUGGUCAAUCUAGUGGCGAACGGGUGAGUAACACGUGGGUAACCUGCCCAUCAGAGGGGGAUAACAUCCGGAAACGGAUGCUAAAACCGCACAGGUCUUCGAACCGCAUGGUUUGAAGAGGAAAAGAGGCGCAAGCUUCUGCUGAUGGAUGGACCCGCGGUGCAUUAGCUAGUUGGUGAGGUAACGGCUCACCAAGGCCGUGAUGCAUAGCCGACCUGAGAGGGUGAUCGGCCACAUUGGGACUGAGACACGGCCCAAACUCCUACGGGAGGCAGCAGUAGGGAAUCUUCCGCAAUGGACGCAAGUCUGACGGAGCAACGCCGCGUGAGUGAAGAAGGUUUUCGGAUCGUAAAACUCUGUUGUUAGAGAAGAACAAGUGCUAGAGUAACUGUUAGCGCCUUGACGGUAUCUAACCAGAAAGCCACGGCUAACUACGUG